rnacentral:rRNA from 1 species
AGUGAACGCUGGCGGUAGGCCUAACACAUGCAAGUCGAACGGCAGCACAGUAAGAGCUUGCUCUUACGGGUGGCGAGUGGCGGACGGGUGAGGAAUACAUCGGAAUCUACUUUUUCGUGGGGGAUAACGUAGGGAAACUUACGCUAAUACCGCAUACGACCUACGGGUGAAAGCAGGGGAUCUUCGGACCUUGCGCGAUUGAAUGAGCCGAUGUCGGAUUAGCUAGUUGGCGGGGUAAAGGCCCACCAAGGCGACGAUCCGUAGCUGGUCUGAGAGGAUGAUCAGCCACACAGGAACUGAGACACGGUCCAGACUCCUACGGGAGGCAGCAGUGGGGAAUAUUGGACAAUGGGCGCAAGCCUGAUCCAGCCAUACCGCGUGGGUGAAGAAGGCCUUCGGGUUGUAAAGCCCUUUUGUUGGGAAAGAAAAGCAGCAGGUUAAUACCCCGCUGUUCUGACGGUACCCAAAGAAUAAGCACCGGCUAACUUCGU